AUACUUUUCACAUAUUUUAUAAGUAUUCUUUUUAUUAAUACAAACAAAAAGUCUAUCCCACCUAAUACUAACUGGUAUAAAUUAUAUAAUAGUUUAUAAAAGAAGCCAGCAAAUUUAGAGAAUUAACUUUGAAUGACCCAGCUUUUGAUGAAUUAAUUUGUUGGCUUGUUAGCCAUGUGGCAGCGUGAUGGUUUGGUGAUUUGUGAUCUGCUUGUAAAGUUGACCUGGAGUCUGGUGUUGCCUAAGAUUGGGACUAUCAGCAGGAAGUAAGGCAUGGGCCAGCUGGAGGGGGCAGCCCCUAACCCUCCUAGAGGAAGAGGGGAGCUUUGUUGGAGGCCUGGGCUGAGUCCUGAUAAUGAGUAAGUGCUAGUCUGUUCCUCCCCUUGACAGCUCUCAGCUGUGCCCCCUUCUCGCCACCCCCCAGGACCAACGGUGUGGGCCUCCUGAUGGGUCUCUUGGUAUCUACUCUGAUUCCCUUCAGUGCUCCAAACCAGAUCCAGAGAGAAAUGUUUUGUAUAUAGAUCUGAUCUCUUUGCCCUGCUAGACACCCUGUCUUCCUUGGCUCACAGGAUAAUAAUCACAAUGAUUAAAGUUGUUGAGACAAUGAAAGGAGUUAGCGCAUGUAGCCCUCGACUGUAGCCCGCCAGGCUUUUCUGUCCAUGAGAUUUCCCAGGCGGGAAUACUGGAGUGGGUUGCCAUUUCCUUCUCCAGCGAAAUCUGCCCGACCUUGGGAUCCAACCCACUUGUCCUGCAUUGACAGGCUCAUUCUUUAACACUGAGCCGCCAGAGCUGCUGUUAUAGUUAAAAGCCUGUGCCUCUCCCCCUACCUCCACCUUGCAUGGCCUCUCCAGGUUCACCUUGGGAUCUUGUAAAUAAUCUCCAGGUACUUCCCACUUGUCUUCUCAGUUCCUAGAGUGCACCAGACUCCUUCUUCCUUUGGGAACCUGUUUUUUGGGUCUUAGCCACAUGUUCUUGUUCUGGGAACCGUCUCAGAGCCCACUACCUUUACCCUAGACAAGCCACUUCUCCUGAGAAGGAACCGACUAAUUUCUCUUUCCUUGGUGCCAAGCACAAAGCGGGUACCGGCAAGCUUUGUUAAAGAGAAGAAUGAUACACUGAGGGUCUGAACGGUUGACCCCAGGGCCAGCAUUGACUGACUUCCUGCCACUCUGAUGAUGACAAAGCUGCAUGUCGCACUGCGCGGGGCGGUCAGCAGCCUGGAGGACCUGCUCAUUAGUCCAGCAUUUGCGGGGGCCGCAGGGAGUUUCCUGAGGACUUUCCCACUGAGAACCACUCGCUCAAAGCCUGAGCAGGAGCCCCAGGAUAACCAAAGCUGAAGCAUCUUUUACUGUCAGCCAGCAGGAUCUUGGACUCUGAAAUAUGACGCAAGCGGCUCUGGCAGCCUUGGCCCUUCGCUCUUGUCUGGCCCUAUUUCUCACUUGACUUCUCCUCUACACUCAGCGCAGCUUAUUUACAGGGUUCCCACGUGUGAGCACGGGAGGAGGGGCACUCGGUGAUGACAGCCAGCAGCCCCCAGGCCUUGGGGCAUCUGGGUGAGGAAAUGAGGAAGGCCGGCAGCAGGACUGAAGAACAAGAGACCGAUUCGAGACAUCUUUUCUCAUCAGAAUGAUGUGGAAACAGAUUCUGAAAUGUGAAGUUACUUGUCCCAGUUGCAGAAGCAAAUUAGGGGAAACUUCCAAAGACAGCACUUUGUCUCCUAUACCGGGAGCCUCCAUUGAAGCCAUCCAGAUCUCUCUGGUGUUCAUGUCCCCUGUUGCAUAUGGAGAUAACAGCGAUGAUAUAGAUGACUAAUAGUUGAGAGGGACCAAGAAUUGUUUCUCGUGUAUAUCAACUAAUUUAAUACUUGCAAAAAUGCUGUGAGUUGGAUCCUA